rnacentral:lncRNA from 1 species
UGUAAUCAUCUCCUCACAUCUCAGUGUGAAAAAUAAUUUGGAGAAAAAAACAAAAGUUGAAAGACUCUGGAAUUAUAACAUGGAAAUAAUGAAUUUCUGACUGCAAUUGGUGUCCAAAAAGCUAAGAACCAAGUUUCCCUUAAGUAAUUAGCUCCAUAUUCAAAAGAAUUAAAGUGUAUGUACCAG